AACAUUAUUGAAUCAUGGAAAGAGGUAUUAAAAUACUAACAAAAUACUUAUCCAACUAUUUAUUACAAUAUUGUUUUAACUCUAUUGUUUUAUUUUAUUUGUAGAUCUUUAAUGAUUCAUCUCCCAUGGAAGUUGCAGUCAUUGACGACAUUAGAAGGAACUGGGCAUCUUUUAUUUUAAGUAUUAGUAGAAACUUGGCUACAAUUCAAUAGUAUAUGUACAUUUGGAUUUAAUAUAUACUUUUAUGCACAAACGAUGUAUUAAAUAUUAUUAGACUAUUUAAAGUUUGAAAUGAAUUCUAUUUUGUUUCAUUAAA
rnacentral:lncRNA from 1 species